rnacentral:misc_RNA from 1 species
AACGCACAUUGCGCCCUUUGGCAUUCCGAAGGGCAUGCCUGUUCGAGCGUCAUUAUCACCCCUCAAGCCCCGUGCUUGGUGUUGGACGGCCGGUCGAGCGAUCGACCCCUCCGAAAGACAAUGACGGCGACCUGUGGUUCCCCCGGUACACUGAGCUUCUCACCGAGCACGUAUCGGACAAGGGCGCCCGGGACCCGGUCCUCUCCUUUCACUAGGAAACUUCUAAGGUUGACCUCGGAUCAGGUAGGAAUACGCGCUGAACUUAA